rnacentral:lncRNA from 1 species
CACGGCCAGAGCCUCGCGCCCCACGCGGCCCCAGUCGCCGCACACCAGGCGCGCCGCCGCCACCGUCUCGACGUCGUCGCACGCCGACAGGAUCGCCAGAAUCAACUCGUCGGGCAGCGACGACCACGGCCUGGCGGCCUCGCCGUCCAUCGCGUCUCUUGCAACGGCGGGUGCGCGUGCAGGAUAGCGCGCCGGCCUCGUCCGAUGUUGGACAAUGGGCAGGAGCGCCGAAUUUUGUCCUCUACGCGAUCAGGAGAGCCGGCCGUCAGACCGGUGCUCUUUUUUUAAGCCGUGCGGUCACCCCUCAACCUCCUUUUUCCUCUUUCCUCUUUCUUUUUUUUCGCUCUCUGGACAGAAAAAAAAAAGAAUUGCGCCGCUCGGUGCAAGCAUAGGAGCACCGACGCCGGCAAAAAGUCGAGCCGCAGCGCGG